ACACAUGCAAGUUGAACGGUCCGUCCAGACGGAAUCUUUCGGGAUGAAGUAGGGACAGCGGGCAGUAGCGGACGGGUGAGUAACGCGUGAGCAACCUAUCUUUCAGCCAGGGAUAACCAGGCGAAAGCCUGGCUAAUCCCUGAUAAAAUUAAGGCAAGGCAUCCUGGAUUAAUCAAAGGUGGUGAGAGCCAUCACUGGGAGUUGGGUUCGCGUCGGAUUAGCUAGCUGGUGAGGUAACGGCUUACCAGGGCUACGAUCCGUAGCUGGUCUGAGAGGACGAUCAGCCACACUGGGACUGAGACACGGCCCAGACUUCUACGGAAGGCAGCAGUGGGGAAUCUUCCGCAAUGGGCGCAAGCCUGACGGAGCAACGUCGCGUGAGUGAAGAAGGCUUUCGGGUUGUAAAGCUCUGUCCUUAGGGAAGAACAGUCUAUAGAGGAAAUGUUAUAGAUAUGACGGUACUUAAGGAGGAAGCUCUGGCUAACUACGUGCCAGCAGCCGCGGUAAUACGUAGAGAGCGAGCGUUGUCCGGAAUUACUGGGCGUAAAGGGUAUGCAGGCGGAUAUACAAGUCGGAUGUGAAAGGUGCCGGCUCAACUGGCGGAGUGCAUUUGAAACUGUAUAUCUUGAGUGCAGGAGAGGAAAACGGAAUUCCUGGUGUAGCGGUGGAAUGCGUAGAUAUCAGGAAGAACACCAGUGGCGAAGGCGGUUUUCUGGCCUGCAACUGACGCUGAGGUACGAAAGCCGGGGGAGCGAACGGGAUUAGAUACCCCGGUAGUCCCGGCUGUAAACGAUGGAGACUAGGUGUUGGGGGUUCGAAUCCUUCAGUGCCGGAGUUAACGCGAUAAGUGUCCCGCCUGGGGAUUACGACCGCAAGGUUGAAACUCAAAGGAAUUGACGGGGGCCCGCACAAGCGGUGGAGCAUGUGGUUUAAUUCGAUGCAACGCGAAGAACCUUACCGAGGUUUGACAUCCUGUGCCUAUUUGUGAGAGCAGAGUAUAGGUCUUAGUACCUACACAGAGACAGGUGGUGCAUGGCUGUCGUCAGCUCGUGUCGUGAGAUGUUGGGUUAAGUCCCGUAACGAGCGCAACCCUUAUUCCUAGUUGCCAGCAUUUAAGGUGGGGACUCUAGGGAGACAGCCGGUGAAAGCCGGAGGAAGGUGGGGAUGACGUCAAGUCCUCAUGCCCUUUAUGCCUCGGGCUACACACGUGCUACAAUGGUUGGUACAGAGGGGAGCGAAGCUGUGAAGUGGAGCCAAUCUCAGAAAACCGAUCUUAGUUCGGAUUGCAGGCUGCAACUCGCCUGCAUGAAGCUGGAAUCGCUAGUAAUCGCAGGUCAGCAUACUGCGGUGAUACGUUCCCGGGCAUUGUACACACCGCCCGUCACACCAACCGAGUUAGAUGCACCAGAAGUCACCUGCGGGUGCCGAAGGUGUG
rnacentral:rRNA from 1 species